UACAGGGGGUGCAAACGUUGCUCGGAAUCAUUGGGCGUAAAGCGCACGUAGGCGGUUCGUUAUGUCGGAUGUGAAAGCCCUUGGCUUAACCGAGGAAGUGCAUCCGAAACUGGCGAGCUAGAGUACGAAAGAGGAUCGCGGAAUUCCCGGUGUAGCGGUGAAAUGCGUAGAUAUCUGAAGGAACAUCAGUGGCGAAAGCGACCUCCUGGACCAAUACUGACGCUCAUGUGCGAAAGCGUGGGGAGCAAACAGG
rnacentral:rRNA from 1 species